GGGUUGUGAGGUUAAGCGACUAAGCGUACACGGUGGAUGCCCUGGCAGUCAGAGGCGAUGAAGGACGUGCUAAUCUGCGAUAAGCGUCGGUAAGGUGAUAUGAACCGUUAUAACCGGCGAUUUCCGAAUGGGGAAACCCAGUGUGUUUCGACACACUAUCAUUAACUGAAUCCAUAGGUUAAUGAGGCGAACCGGGGGAACUGAAACAUCUAAGUACCCCGAGGAAAAGAAAUCAACCGAGAUUCCCCCAGUAGCGGCGAGCGAACGGGGAGCAGCCCAGAGCCUGAAUCAGUGUGUGUGUUAGUGGAAGCGUCUGGAAAGGCGCGCGAUACAGGGUGACAGCCCCGUACACAAAAAUGCACAUACUGUGAGCUCGAUGAGUAGGGCGGGACACGUGGUAUCCUGUCUGAAUAUGGGGGACCAUCCUCCAAGGCUAAAUACUCCUGACUGACCGAUAGUGAACCAGUACCGUGAGGGAAAGGCGAAAAGAACCCCGGCGAGGGGAGUGAAAAAGAACCUGAAACCGUGUACGUACAAGCAGUGGGAGCCUCUUUUAUGGGGUGACUGCGUACCUUUUGUAUAAUGGGUCAGCGACUUAUAUUCUGUAGCAAGGUUAACCGAAUAGGGGAGCCGAAGGGAAACCGAGUCUUAACCGGGCGUUAAGUUGCAGGGUAUAGACCCGAAACCCGGUGAUCUAGCCAUGGGCAGGUUGAAGGUUGGGUAACACUAACUGGAGGACCGAACCGACUAAUGUUGAAAAAUUAGCGGAUGACUUGUGGCUGGGGGUGAAAGGCCAAUCAAACCGGGAGAUAGCUGGUUCUCCCCGAAAGCUAUUUAGGUAGCGCCUCGUGAAUUCAUCUCCGGGGGUAGAGCACUGUUUCGGCAAGGGGGUCAUCCCGACUUACCAACCCGAUGCAAACUGCGAAUACCGGAGAAUGUUAUCACGGGAGACACACGGCGGGUGCUAACGUCCGUCGUGAAGAGGGAAACAACCCAGACCGCCAGCUAAGGUCCCAAAGUCAUGGUUAAGUGGGAAACGAUGUGGGAAGGCCCAGACAGCCAGGAUGUUGGCUUAGAAGCAGCCAUCAUUUAAAGAAAGCGUAAUAGCUCACUGGUCGAGUCGGCCUGCGCGGAAGAUGUAACGGGGCUAAACCAUGCACCGAAGCUGCGGCAGCGACACUGUGUGUUGUUGGGUAGGGGAGCGUUCUGUAAGCCUGUGAAGGUGUACUGUGAGGUAUGCUGGAGGUAUCAGAAGUGCGAAUGCUGACAUAAGUAACGAUAAAGCGGGUGAAAAGCCCGCUCGCCGGAAGACCAAGGGUUCCUGUCCAACGUUAAUCGGGGCAGGGUGAGUCGACCCCUAAGGCGAGGCCGAAAGGCGUAGUCGAUGGGAAACAGGUUAAUAUUCCUGUACUUGGUGUUACUGCGAAGGGGGGACGGAGAAGGCUAUGUUGGCCGGGCGACGGUUGUCCCGGUUUAAGCGUGUAGGCUGGUUUUCCAGGCAAAUCCGGAAAAUCAAGGCUGAGGCGUGAUGACGAGGCACUACGGUGCUGAAGCAACAAAUGCCCUGCUUCCAGGAAAAGCCUCUAAGCAUCAGGUAACAUCAAAUCGUACCCCAAACCGACACAGGUGGUCAGGUAGAGAAUACCAAGGCGCUUGAGAGAACUCGGGUGAAGGAACUAGGCAAAAUGGUGCCGUAACUUCGGGAGAAGGCACGCUGAUAUGUAGGUGAAGUCCCUCGCGGAUGGAGCUGAAAUCAGUCGAAGAUACCAGCUGGCUGCAACUGUUUAUUAAAAACACAGCACUGUGCAAACACGAAAGUGGACGUAUACGGUGUGACGCCUGCCCGGUGCCGGAAGGUUAAUUGAUGGGGUCAGCGCAAGCGAAGCUCUUGAUCGAAGCCCCGGUAAACGGCGGCCGUAACUAUAACGGUCCUAAGGUAGCGAAAUUCCUUGUCGGGUAAGUUCCGACCUGCACGAAUGGCGUAAUGAUGGCCAGGCUGUCUCCACCCGAGACUCAGUGAAAUUGAACUCGCUGUGAAGAUGCAGUGUACCCGCGGCAAGACGGAAAGACCCCGUGAACCUUUACUAUAGCUUGACACUGAACAUUGAGCCUUGAUGUGUAGGAUAGGUGGGAGGCUUUGAAGUGUGGACGCCAGUCUGCAUGGAGCCGACCUUGAAAUACCACCCUUUAAUGUUUGAUGUUCUAACGUGGACCCGUGAUCCGGGUUGCGGACAGUGUCUGGUGGGUAGUUUGACUGGGGCGGUCUCCUCCUAAAGAGUAACGGAGGAGCACGAAGGUUGGCUAAUCCUGGUCGGACAUCAGGAGGUUAGUGCAAUGGCAUAAGCCAGCUUGACUGCGAGCGUGACGGCGCGAGCAGGUGCGAAAGCAGGUCAUAGUGAUCCGGUGGUUCUGAAUGGAAGGGCCAUCGCUCAACGGAUAAAAGGUACUCCGGGGAUAACAGGCUGAUACCGCCCAAGAGUUCAUAUCGACGGCGGUGUUUGGCACCUCGAUGUCGGCUCAUCACAUCCUGGGGCUGAAGUAGGUCCCAAGGGUAUGGCUGUUCGCCAUUUAAAGUGGUACGCGAGCUGGGUUUAGAACGUCGUGAGACAGUUCGGUCCCUAUCUGCCGUGGGCGCUGGAGAACUGAGGGGGGCUGCUCCUAGUACGAGAGGACCGGAGUGGACGCAUCACUGGUGUUCGGGUUGUCAUGCCAAUGGCACUGCCCGGUAGCUAAAUGCGGAAGAGAUAAGUGCUGAAAGCAUCUAAGCACGAAACUUGCCCCGAGAUGAGUUCUCCCUGACCCUUUAAGGGUCCUGAAGGAACGUUGAAGACGACGACGUUGAUAGGCCGGGUGUGUAAGCGCAGCGAUGCGUUGAGCUAACCGGUACUAAUGAACCGUGAGGCUUAACCUUACAACGCCGAAGGUGUUU
rnacentral:rRNA from 1 species